rnacentral:piRNA from 1 species
UGAUAACCUAUUAUAGGUCAGUGAUGUAC